rnacentral:lncRNA from 1 species
AUUCCUCCCUGAAGCCAAACUUCCGGCAGCAGCUGCAGCUGCUCUCUCCCCUCCCAUGCCUGCCUCCCCAGCACAGUCCCCUGCCGCAGCCCCUGCCCCACCAAUGGCAAAUGAGGAACAUGUGUAUAGAGCCCUGGGCUCUCCCUCCUCCUGAGGCCAUUUCCAACAAAACACUUGUGCUUUCUGAAAGUAAGAUGUGGAGCUCUGGAGUCCCCAAGGAAAACGGGUUUAUGGCAUCCGCCAGCCCUGGAGCCAGUGAGUGUCUGGCCCCUUGGCCCAGAGCCCCACUGCCAGGCACAGGCAAACUGGGAGGAAGGGGUUAAUCUGAGCAGAGGAGGCCAGGAGGGGCCCAGUUCCAUUCCCGACUGCAGGGGAUGCUCAUCCCCGGGAUGGAGGUCAGCAGGAAGCAGCUCAAAGAGGCCAGGAGGCCAAGGCCCAGUUUAAACACUGAAUGAAGGCCACCUUUUCAGUAGCAUGCACAUGUGUGCAUGCACACACACGUACACACUCAUACACACAUGUUACCAUGCACAUAGUAUCCUCUUAUUAACAACGUUAAGGUUGUCACGACAGACUCUGGGUUUGGUGUCGGAAGCCCUGCAUCAGGGCUGUUUAAUAAGUCCCCAGCGCCAAUGGUAGGCACUAUGGAGGCCCAAACUGUUGGGGAGGGGAACCUCAGAGUGCCUUCUCCCAGGGAGGGGUGUGUGUGCCAGGAGCUGGGUGAUGGAGCUCCUCCAGAGCUUUUCUUGGAAGUUCAGAGUUUAACUCUGGGUUAGUAGGGCUCACCUUAGUUCUGAGGCAUGUAGGUGAAGACACUGCAAUUAGGAAGGUGAUGGGGCAGGGGACUAGCCUGUCUUCACCCCCAGGCUUAUGUC